rnacentral:tRNA from 1 species
AAGACCCUAGUAAAACACAUUACAUUACCUUGUCAAGGCACAAUUGUGGGUUUGAGCCCCGCGGGUCUUA